GUCUCAUUCAGAUGAGUUCUGAGCAAAGAUAGCAACAACCUCGACCGGAAGACAUGGCUUUCCUCUUGCUGUUGAGCUUUGCCAUCAGUGUUCCUCUACUCUUAGGACGGGAAGUCACACAGACUCCUGCCGAAAUAAUCGAGGCAGUAGGCAACUCAGCCCGUAUUCAGUGUUUUAACAACAAAUCAGGCUAUGACCAGAUGCUUUGGUAUCGGCAUAGCGGCAUGAACAUGGAGCUCCUCGGGUACAUGUACGACACCAACCCCAGUAUAGAACCUGGCCAGGACGUGAAGCUGAGUGGCAAUGCACAAACUGGCAACACGUGCACGAUGACCAUCCCAAAUUUGCGCCUCAACAGCAGCGCUGUUUAUUACUGUGCAGCAAGCUACCACGGUGCAGUGUUGUGUUAA